UUUCCACUCAUUCUAGUUUUGCAGUGCAAAAAGUGAAUUCGUUUUUCUGCGGAGCCCAUUGCAAUGAGUGAAUAAUUUUUGUGCUAAUUGGAAAAUAAAAAGACAAAACCUUGCAAAGUUGUGAAAACCUCUUAGCAACUGUGCGGAAAACCGGACUGCAAAUGUUCUAUAGUUUUUGCGAAAAAAAAUAUGCAAACGAAAAAAGGUUGUGAAAAGAAUUACCAACAAGAAAAAAGUGCAGGAAGAAGCAGAGUAGUGAACUAGUGAACGAAGCAAGUGAAAUUGCAUGUAUUGCACAAAUGCAGAAUUAAAUACAAAACAAAAAAGUAAAAAGAUUGCUUGAAAAAUCUUUGCAAUUUUUUUAUGUGUUUGAAGUUCGGGGGUAAUUUUGUUGAAAAUUCCGUUUGGUAAGCUUUGUGCAGUGAUAGACACAAAAACAACUGCUGAUUGCAGUCGAGGGGGUAAAACAAAAGCAACAACGCGUGCAGCGCAGUAUCGUGGGGCGCAGAGGAAAAGCAGCAGCAGCAGCGUUGAAGAAGCAGCUGAUUUUCGUUUGACGUUCCGGUGGUGUUAGGCAGAGCGCUACAGCUGCGCUAACUGCGCAGUUCGCCAUUCGAAAGAACAAAAGAAGAAUCUACGCUAAAAGGCUGAAUCAAUCGCUCGCGUAUAGUUAAAGUCGAUAUCGGGAGCGCAAAAUUAGCGAAUGAAAAAGUGAAUCAAAAAGUUGGUAACUAUAUAAACAGACCAAGUGCAAAAUAGAAUCUGCCGCCAAGUCCAAAACAAAAAAAAAAAAUGAUUUUCCAAGCGCCCAACAAUUUGUCACCUUUGGCUUAUGCGCAUACUUUAUGUGAUACUUCAUGUAUUAUGCCAGAGAGGAUUACGAUAAUAGUACUAUCAAUUGAGUCGGUGUUUUGUGAUCAGCGCCAACAACAACAACAACAACAACAACAUGAUCUGCAUGCAGCUGUUAAAGAGUAAAACGUUCAAGGCAAAACUAUUUGUUUAAAGGCUGCCUGUACCUUACUACUGCAUCCCCAGCAUAAAGCGUUGUGAAGCCUUGAAAGCAAACGAUUAUGUUAAACAGUACCUACUUACUGGACUAUUGAAACAACAACUUAGCACAACAUUAACAAGAACUUUGUGUGAUUUGUGUUGUUAUAAUAGUGGUUUACAUAUGUACAAGUAUUAAAGGAAAACGAUAAUAAGUAUAAAGGACCUAAACAACACAGAGAGAAGUGAAAGAUUGCAUUCGAGUGGCCAUCGAAUUGGUAAGUCUUUA